UCUCCGUAGGUGAACCUGCGGAGGGAUCAUUACAAGUGACCCCGGUCUAACCACCGGGAUGUUCAUAACCCUUUGUUGUCCGACUCUGUUGCCUCCGGGGCGACCCUGCCUUCGGGCGGGGGCUCCGGGUGGACCACCCAACCCUGCAUCGUUGCGUCUGAGUCGAAAUAUAAAUCAAUCAAAACUUUCAACAACGGAUCUCUUGGUUCUGGCAUCGAUGAAGAACGCAGC
rnacentral:misc_RNA from 1 species